AAAUUCGAUGUCAUUUCACAUUCGGCAUCUAUGCUAUAAUACAUCUCGCAACACUGCUCAGACUUUGUUUUGAUCGGCGGUUGGUGGCCGCCAUUAGUGCGCGAUCGCGUUUCAUUUUUUGGAUUUGCGGAGUUUUCGACGUGAAAAACUCCUGAAAAUAGUGAAAUUAGAAAGAGGUGGCCAGAGAGCCAAUCAACGAAGGAGGAAAAAACGGUUCUGCAGGAACUGUUGCUCCCUUGUGAUUCUUCCCGGCAUAACCAUCUCAACCGGUAAGCAAAGUCGGGAGAAUUCUACCGUUGUCGACGUUUGUUGUCCAGCAUGGAAGUCUGGUGGCUCAUUGCCCAUGGAUAGACUUGUGAGUAAGCUGGAUGCGGCUUCCCGGAUGUUCAGCAACUGGCGCACUGCAGCGAUUUGAUUAUGAUGAACCUUAAUGGAGUCUCAGCUCCGGAACAUCUACGGUAAAACAGGCUCAACAGACUCGCGCGAACUGCUGACAAUGGUUCAGUCUACUCAGGAAGUCAGCACACAAAAUCGAGCGUCUUCUCGUAUUCAUCAUUCUGGGGGUCGUUACACAAAGGCAUAUUACUGUUAGAAAUAAUGAUAUAUAAUAAAAAAAUAAAAUUUAAUACUGUUUGUUUAAACAUGCUUUA